rnacentral:rRNA from 1 species
GACGAACGCUGGCGGCGUGGAUUAGGCAUGCAAGUCGAACGGUAGGAUACCUUCGGGUAUCUGAGAGUGGCGAACGGGUGAGUAACACGUAGGUGAUCUACCCUCAAGAUUGGGACAACCCAGGGAAACUUGGGCUAAUACCGGAUGAAAGCAGCAGUGAUGUUGUUUGAAAGGUGGCGUAAGCUGCCGUUUGGGGAUGAGCCUGCGCUCUAUUAGUUAGUUGGCGGGGUAAAGGCCCACCAAGGCGAUGAUAGAUAGGCGGCCUUAACGGGUGGUCGCCCACACUGGGAUUGAGAGACGGCCCAGACUCCUACGGGAGGCAGCAGUCGAGAAUAGUCUACAAUGGACGGAAGUCUGAUAGUGCGACGCCGCGUGAACGAAGAAUCCCUUCGGGGUGUAAAGUUCUUUUAUACGUGAGCAGUGCCCUUUAUAUGAAUAGUAUAGAGGGAGGGAUUUAAAGCGUAUGAAUAAAGCAACGGCUAACUCCGUGCCAGCAGCCGGGUAAACUAGUCUACG